GCGAGUGAAGCGGUAAGAGCUCAAAUUUGAAAGCUGGCUCCUUCGGGGUCCGCAUUGUAAUUUGCAGAGGAUGUUUCGGAAGCAGCCCCCAUCUAAGUACCCUGGAACGGGUCGUCAUAGAGGGUGAGAAUCCCGUAUGGGAUGGGGUGUCUGCGUCCAUGUGAAACUCCUUCGACGAGUCGAGUUGUUUGGGAAUGCAGCUCUAAAUGGGUGGUAAAUUUCAUCUAAAGCUAAAUAUUGGCCGGAGACCGAUAGCGCACAAGUAGAGUGAUCGAAAGAUGAAAAGCACUUUGAAAAGAGAGUUAAAAAGCACGUGAAAUUGUUGAAAGGGAAGCGCUUGCGACCAGACUCGCCUCGGGGGUUCAACCGGCAUUCGUGCCGGUGUACUUCCCCCGGGGCGGGCCAGCGUCGGUUUGGGCGGUCGGUCAAAGGCCCUCGGAAUGUAACGCCUCUCGGGGCGUCUUAUAGCCGAGGGUGCCAUGCGACCUGCCCGGACCGAGGAACGCGCUUCGGCUCGGACGCUGGCAUAAUGGUCGUAAGCGA
rnacentral:rRNA from 1 species